rnacentral:misc_RNA from 1 species
UAUGCCUUCCGUAGUAGACCAGAUCAGUGAAUUUGACAUAGCAAUCGCUUUCGAGUUCGAUUUCGAAGCUACCGUCGUCGGAGAGAAUGUAGGACUUGACAUUGUUGGGUAAGAGACCGAUUGGAAAACCGUAAAGGGGAAGAAGAUCGUGGAUAUCAGUUGACUUGAGGGUGAUAUCCCUCGUUGAAAAGGAGAGAUGGGUUUGGGUGGAGAUGGCGAGAAUGAGAAGGAAUAGAGAGAACGGGGAGAGGAUUGUAGAGAAGGAAGCCAUUGAUGGAGAUUUCAGGUAGAAA